rnacentral:rRNA from 1 species
AUUGAACGCUGGCGGCAGGCCUAACACAUGCAAGUCGAACGAGUGGCGGACGGGUGAGUAAUGUCUGGGAAUCUGCCCGAUAGAGGGGGAUAACUACUGGAAACGGUCGCUAAUACCGCAUACUAUCGGAUGUACCCAUAUGGGAUUAGCUAGUAGGUGGGGUAACGGCUCACCUAGGCGACGAUCUCUAGCUGGUCUGAGAGGAUGAACAGGCACACUGGAACUGAGACACGGUGCAGACGCCUACGGGAGGCAGCAGUGGGGAAUAUUGCACAAUGGGCGCAAGCCUGAUGCAGCCAUGCCGCGUGUAUGAAGAAGGCCUUCGGGUUGUAAAGUACUUUCAGCGAGGAGGCGUUACUCGCAGAAGAAGCACCGGCUAACUCCGUGCCAGCAGCCGCGGUAAUAC